rnacentral:rRNA from 1 species
UACCAGCACCCCGAGUGGUCGGGACGUUUAUUGGGCCUAAAGCCUCCGUAGCCGGUUCUACAAGUCUUCCGUUAAAUCCACCUGCUUAACAGAUGGGCUGCGGAAGAUACUAUAGAGCUAGGAGGCGGGAGAGGCAAGCGGUACUCGAUGGGUAGGGGUAAAAUCCGUUGAUCCAUUGAAGACCACCAGUGGCGAAGGCGGCUCGCCAGAACGCGCUCGACGGUGAGGGAUGAAAGCUGGGGGAGCAAACCGG